rnacentral:rRNA from 1 species
CCUACGGGUGGCAGCAGUGAGGAAUAUUGGUCAAUGGACGCAAGCCUGAACCAGCCAUGCCGCGUGCAGGAAGACGGCCCUAUGAGUUGUAAACCGCUUUUGUACGGGGGUAAACGCAGAUACGCGUAUCUGGCUGAAAGUAACGUACGUAUAAGGCAAGGCUAACUCCGGUCCAGCAGCCGCGGGAAUAAGGAGGAUUCAAGCGUUAUUCGGUUUUGUUGGGUUUAAAGGGUGCGUAGGCGGUCGGUUAAGUUAGAGGUGAAAUCCCGAGGCUCAACUUCGGAAUUGCCUGUGAUACUGUUCGGCUAGAGAGUAGUUGCGGUAGGCGGAAUGUAUGGUGUAGCGGUGAAAUGCUUAGAGAUCAGACAGAACACCGAUUGCGAAGGCAGCUUACCAGGCUACUUCUGACGUUGAGGCACGAAAGCGUGGGGAGCAAACAGGAUUAGAUACCCCUGUAGUC